rnacentral:rRNA from 1 species
CCACCGGAGCUUGCUCCACCGGAAAAAGAGGAGUGGCGAACGGGUGAGUAACACGUGGGUAACCUGCCCAUCAGAAGGGGAUAACACUUGGAAACAGGUGCUAAUACCGUAUAACAAUCGAAACCGCAUGGUUUUGAUUUGAAAGGCGCUUUCGGGUGUCGCUGAUGGAUGGACCCGCGGUGCAUUAGCUAGUUGGUGAGGUAACGGCUCACCAAGGCCACGAUGCAUAGCCGACCUGAGAGGGUGAUCGGCCACAUUGGGACUGAGACACGGCCCAAACUCCUACGGGAGGCAGCAGUAGGGAAUCUUCGGCAAUGGACGAAAGUCUGACCGAGCAACGCCGCGUGAGUGAAGAAGGUUUUCGGAUCGUAAAACUCUGUUGUUAGAGAAGAACAAGGAUGAGAGUAACUGUUCAUCCCUUGACGGUAUCUAACCAGAAAGCCACGGCUAACUACGUGCCAGCAGCCGCGGUAAUACGUAGGUGGCAAGCGUUGUCCGGAUUUAUUGGGCGUAAAGCGAGCGCAGGCGGUUUCUUAAGUCUGAUGUGAAAGCCCCCGGCUCAACCGGGGAGGGUCAUUGGAAACUGGGAGACUUGAGUGCAGAAGAGGAGAGUGGAAUUCCAUGUGUAGCGGUGAAAUGCGUAGAUAUAUGGAGGAACACCAGUGGCGAAGGCGGCUCUCUGGUCUGUAACUGACGCUGAGGCUCGAAAGCGUGGGGAGCAAACAGGAUUAGAUACCCUGGUAGUCCACGCCGUAAACGAUGAGUGCUAAGUGUUGGAGGGUUUCCGCCCUUCAGUGCUGCAGCUAACGCAUUAAGCACUCCGCCUGGGGAGUACGACCGCAAGGUUGAAACUCAAAGGAAUUGACGGGGGCCCGCACAAGCGGUGGAGCAUGUGGUUUAAUUCGAAGCAACGC